rnacentral:rRNA from 1 species
UACGUAGGUGGCAAGCGUUAUCCGGAUUUAUUGGGCGUAAAGCGAGCGCAGGCGGUCGCUUAGGUCUGAUGUGAAAGCCUUCGGCUUAACCGAAGAAGUGCAUCGGAAACCGGGCGACUUGAGUGCAGAAGAGGACAGUGGAACUCCAUGUGUAGCGGUGGAAUGCGUAGAUAUAUGGAAGAACACCAGUGGCGAAGGCGGCUGUCUGGUCUGCAACUGACGCUGAGGCUCGAAAGCAUGGGUAGCGAACAGG